GUCUAUGGCCAUAUCACCCUGAACGCACUUGAUAUCGUCUAAUCUCAGAAGCUAAGCAGGGUCAGGCCUGGAUAGUACUUGGAUGGGAAGAACAUACCAUGCUCA
rnacentral:rRNA from 1 species